AGAGUUUGAUCAUGGCUCAGGACGAACGCUGGCGGCGCGCUUAACACAUGCAAGUCGAGCGAGAACCUAGGCUUCGGCCUAGGGGACAGCGGCGAACGGGUGAGUAACACGUGGGUAAUCUGCCCUCGACAUCGGGAUAGCCCGGGGAAACCCGGAUUAAUACCGAAUAGCCCAUCCGCUUUUCGGAGCGGCUGGAAAAGGUAGCUUUGGCCUCCGGUCGAGGAGGAGCCCGCGGCGGAUUAGCUUGUUGGUGAGGUAACGGCCCACCAAGGCGACGAUCCGUAGCUGGUCUGAGAGGACGAUCAGCCACACUGGGACUGAGACACGGCCCAGACUCCUACGGGAGGCAGCAGUGGGGAAUCUUGCGCAAUGGGCGAAAGCCUGACGCAGCGACGCCGCGUGCGGGAAGAAGGCCUUCGGGUUGUAAACCGCUUUCAGGAGGGACGAAGCCACUCAGGUUAAUAGCCGAGAGGGUGACGGUACCUCCAGAAGAAGCCCCGGCUAACUACGUGCCAGCAGCCGCGGUA
rnacentral:rRNA from 1 species